GGUGAGAUGGCCGAGUGGUUAUGGCGGUGGUCUCAAGUUAAAACUUACGCUAUACAAUAGCGGUGGAUGCCACUGGAGCAAUCCUCAGGGGUUCGAAUCCCCUUCUCAUCA